GGUGAUGUGGCUCAGGCGGUAAAGUGCUUGCCUGGCAUGCGAGCGGCCCAGGUUCAAUCCUCAGCACCA
rnacentral:tRNA from 1 species